CUCGACACAGGAGGGCCACGGCGGUGAUGGAGGGAAGCGUCACAGGCCACACCUUUGACAUAUUCCGCCAGCCAGACCCGCAGGAAGGCCCAGACGUGUGUUUUGGCCGAUGGUGCAGCAGCCCUAGGGGAGGCAGGUCGCCCAGUUCUUUGAAGACCUUGAGGUGGUGCAGAUGGAGGACAGCCUGUGCAACACUGAGAUGGCAUACUCAUUAGCUCCCUGUGCUGGCUCCUUGUGGCUCCUGCUACCAUGCCCAUUUUCUUGCCCUUCUGCUUCCUCUGCAGUCAAGAUGUCUUUCUGUCUUUGUAAAUGGAGUUCACAAAGAAUCCUUCAAGGAGUAAGUACAUAGAUGCUAAGGCUCUGUUAGAUGUGCACAUUUCCAGACACGGAGGAAACAGUUUGACGGAUGCUGUCAAGAACUUCUUAAUGAUGCAGCUACAGUAGAAUAUAAGAAAUGCAACAUAAUAUUGCAGCAAAUUUCCCUUAAUUCUGGAGGCCGUCACUCCACCUAGUGGCAUUCCAUGGUUCAAGCAUGCUCACAGGUGUCCUGCUUGAGGUCUGUGUAAGAGGAUCCUAGAGCAGUGUGCUGAGUGCGAGGUGAUCAUUAGCAGGGGUUUGCAGUAAGCCACCAACACUAGUCUGGUUGAGUUGGUAACUUGUAUUAAGGUAUAAACCCACAAGAUCAGCAUGACUUGGAACUGUUAUCUUUGCUAUUGCAACUCUUCUUAUUAGAUAGAUAUGCUGAGGUUCCAUUAGUCCCCAUUCAUUCAUUUGAUGUCCACCCUACUCAAGCAUCCAUGGACUGUUGUGUCUUAUACAAAGAAGUUGUAUGAAAGGUUACAUCUGGAUUUAUUUUCCAACCAAAUGGAAGACUUACUCCCCCUGAAUACUGCUACACCAAUGGGUAGUCUUUCGACAAUAAUCACAUUGUCUAACAGCUUCUUUCCCAGUGCUCUACACGUCCUUGUUGAGGGUCAUGAGAUGUGGAAAUAGUAAUAAAAGAGCUAUUUGCAAACAAAAAUAUUUUUUCAGUAUUUUGUACAUGGUAUCGACUUAAUUAUUAUAGUUACAGUUCAAUCCUAGCCAUA